rnacentral:lncRNA from 1 species
CAAUCAAGUUGACACUCGGUAUUAACCAUCACAAUGAUUUAUCAAAGGCACACAUCUAUUGGAUCAAUUUAUUUUUACAAAAUGCAAAUUGCAAGAGGGCAGAUAAAUGGUUCAUUCUGUUUCUAUUCACCGUUUCAUCGCAGGAAUGGAAGCAUAAUAGGCUCUCAGAACAUUUUUGUUCAGUGUUCAAUUGAUGAACAUAGGAGAGAGCUCAGGCUAACUUGGAAGUCAUUUAUGUGUAAGCACAGGGCAACUGGUUGUUACAGAAAAGAGAACAUUCAAGAAAUCAUGGAGGUGGAAUACAGGAACCUGGGCACCACAUACGCAGAUUACGUGUUGCUCCGGGUUCUUUUGCCUUGACUUCAUAUCUGCCCCCUCAGUCUCUCCAGGAUACAAUGUGGAAAACAUGGCCACUGACAGGUUGGCAUAACUGCCAGAAUAGCUUUAUUCAUCAGAAAGACAGGGACUGUCCUACUUACUACCAGUUCUAAAAUCCCUAGAAAAAGACUGCUAUUAGACUGGCUUUUCAAUGGCGGGUACCAACCCUUUAUCCAAUCCAUUGUGAUCGGCGUAGGAAGUCUCAUGAGUACAGUGAGAAUGCACUCCAGCCUGCCUAGAAUGGUCCUGUUUACAACUCUCAGCCUAACUUAUCAUCCACAGCACCCUCCCUCACUCUCAAAUAACGUGCUCUAGUUUAGGUGAUAAAUUAUAGAGUACUUCCACAUGAACAAAAUGAUCCUUUCAUGGUCACCAUGCAGUUGGUGGUUGACUUCUAGAAAUAUGCUUGGGGUGGCAGGAGUAGAAGGUGGCUGGAAACCUAAGAUGACCAAAAGGUGGGAGCACCCUUCAGGAAGCCAAUUGCCUGUGUCCAUCCCUCUGUGCCUGCCAUCCCUAGUGCACCUCUUCCAGACACGACACCCAGAGUUAGGCAGCAGAGCCUGGCAUACUUCAAGAUUCACCCAGAGGUGUGCUGAUCUCUUGAAAGCCUCCCUCUUCUCAUGAUACCACAGGUAGGGGACUGGGUCAGUGGUAAAUUAUAGAAUGAGUAUCCACCUGAGACUCUCAGCUAACUGUCUCCUCUACUUUAAGGAUUUUCCUCCCUUUGACAAGCCCUGCACUUGGAUUUCUCCCGAGUGAAAUACUUGGUGAGGGUUUCACUGACAGGCUUCUUCCCAGGCCCCAGGAUGAUCUUAAGAUUCCUGGAAAUAAACUAAGAAGUAAAUUUAAGGCAGCAUCUUGCACUUUCAUCUAAUUCCUUACCGAAAAUGUGUGAACCUGAAGGCAACUCAAAAUUCUGAGUGAAUUUCCAGACUUUUCUUGGAAGUGACAAGAAAGCAACCACAGGCACCACCCAGUCAGCAUACAGACAUUUGCAGCUUUCUCCCUUCAUUUGCAUUGUUUUCUUUAACACUUUUCCGCCCUCAUUUUUCAUUUGACAUUCUCUUGUU